CACGUAGGCACCAAGCGUUGUCCGGAUUUAUUGGGCGUAAAGAGCUCGUAGGCGGUUCAGUAAGUCGGGUGUGAAAACUUUGGGCUUAACCCAAAGCGUGCAUCUGAUACUGCUGUGACUUGAGUUCGGUAGGGGAGUGGGGAAUUCCUAGUGUAGCGGUGAAAUGCGCAGAUAUUAGGAGGAACACCGUGGCGAAAGCGGCUACCUGGCCCAUUCUUGACGCUGAGGCGCGAAAGCUAGGGGAGCAAACGGG
rnacentral:rRNA from 1 species